UACGGAGGGUGCGAGCGUUGUCCGGAAUCAUUGGGCGUAAAGGGCGCGUAGGUGGCGGGACAAGCGUGCGGUGAAAGCUCGGGGCUCAACCCCGAGUCGGCCGUGCGAACUGUUUUGCUUGAGCACUGUAGAGGCAGGCGGAAUUCCGGGUGUAGCGGUGGAAUGCGUAGAUAUCAGGAGGAACACCUGUGGCGAAAGCGGCUCACUGGACCAUAACUGACGCUGAUGCACGAAAGCUAGGGGAGCAAACAGG
rnacentral:rRNA from 1 species